UGUCAGAUGGCUUCAAAAGACAAAAAGCACAGGGCUAUGGGUGAUGAGGAGUGGAUGUCCCGCCUGCGACGGUUCGCUGCUGUUGGGGUCUGGCCCUCUGAUGCAGGAAACAGGCCGGCACCACGUCAGAAAAAGUGGCAUGAUCUGUAUCUGAAGAUUGAGAAAUGCCCGAUGCAGCGGAGGGGACAAAUGUCUCUGUUUGGAGGGACACAGACAUGCAGCUGUGGCUUCCAUACAAAGAAGCCCUCCAGCUCGGUACCUGCCUCUCCCUCAGUGACACCACAACCAAGACUCUCAACGCCACCAGUGUCAGGAUCCUCCUCUUCAACACCUGGUCCGACAGUGCGUAAGCCCG